CCUCCACUAGACCAGGUUGAUCAAGGCCUUAUCCAACCUGGCCUUGAACACCUCUGGGAGGGGGUCAUCCGCAACCUUCCUGUUUCAGUGUCUCAUCACCCUUGCUGUAAAUUUACCCUUACUUUUAUUUUCCUCUAAUUUUCCCAGAGAUCUUGUCCUCUGAGGAUGGAAACUGGAUGUUGCUGGGUGAGAGCUGGAAGCAGGCACAAGCCUUUCAAGCCAAGACCCAAAGACUUCUGAAGUUGGAGGAGGAGACAAGAGGAGGAGGGCAACAUCUACUUGGAGUAUGUUAGCAAAUGCUGACCAAGUGAACUCAUGUGCUACUGCUUUGCUCCAGAUUACCUGCUGUUUAGAGGACAGAAAUCGUGACAGUCACUGUUUGAAAACGGAGGAGCAAAGGAAGAUUGACAACAACUAGAGGGAGUGUAAAAAGUAAUACAGGGGGAAAGGAGUACAGGAAUACCCAAAAACUGGGGAGAGUCCAGACUGGAGACAAGUGGAUGUUCAAGUGAAAAAUAUCUGGUAACUGGAGAGCCAUAGAUGGACCUUUCUGUAGGUAAUAUGUGGAGAGACUUGACUAAGACUCCAACUGGUUUCAUUUAUCACCAAAGCAGUGAAUAAUCUCCAAAGCUGUGCUGUGGCUGGACCCGCAAAUUCUCGCUUUAUUUAAACCAUCCCUCAAAGAACAAUUCAGCUCCUUGCACCUGUCUCUUCUUACAUGACUACAGUCAAGAGCAAGGGUACAGAAACAUCAGAUGUUGUAUUAAUGGCUACAAACCCAAAGCUUCAGCUAAAAACCUCAACAACUGUUCAGCAACAGGUGCACUAUGGUCUGGAUGUCAAAAUCUACAGCAAAACUUUCUCUGGAGGUUUCACAGACUUCUCUAGGAGCCUGUGUUACACAUCCAUCAGCAGGUUUGUGCCCCAGAAGAGCUUCAGUUGCUGCCUUUAUUAGUCUGCAGUACAAACUCAGGGGCUUUUGACUCUCCACACUUGCGGUUAAGAGUAGCAAAAUUGGUGUUGCUUGCUUAAUGCUGCUGUAAACCAGGCACAAGGUAGAAAAGGGGCAAUUUCUCCUGGCAGGGAUUUUCCUGGUGAGUUUGUCUCAGUUCCAUUCUCAGAAGUAUUCUCAUAGGGGUGCUAAUGCCAGUCCAAACCCCCUCCAGAUUUUGACUGUCCUUUAUUUCGUUGUACAGGAAAGUUCUUAGCACAUGCAGUGAGAACAGAUAUAUUUCCAAAAACACUUAGCCUUGCUGGGAUGAUUUAGGAGGAGCUUCCAGUUCACAGAGCAAAUCUGGGCACUCCUUUAGCAUGAGAGUGAUCUUUCUUCCAACAGUCCUGAAGGGCUUCACCAAAUUUUAUGUUAAACCUCCUCUAGGAAAAAUAAGCUGUGCCUCAUUGUUCUUGCUUGAAACUGUAUUUUUACAAGUAUAA